AGCAACAAGUUGGGAUUAAGUGCCAUGAAAGAGUAAAUAUCCCUUAUUCCUAUUUUCAUUUUUAUGAGAAGCCUCCCAUUUUAGAAUUGCUUUAAUUUCUUUAGGGAGGGGAAUGGCGACUGUUAGCCAGAUCACGUGGUUUUUCUGUAGUGUAUGCCUCUUCACUUCGUCUGUCUGUCUAACCGUAUCAUACGAAAAAGAAAAACAAACAACAGAACAAGAGGAACGUAUUGUGCUUUCAGCGGUGCGCCUUCUAAGACUUUUAAAUCAACGACUUCCCCAAUCGCAUCAUCAGACACAAAAAAGAAACUUAGGAACUGUGGAUUCACUCUAUAAUUUACCAGAUCUAUUUUACAGAGGAAAAAAGUAGCCGAUGUUCCAAUUUACAAAUUUUCUUCUCAUCCUGUGGCGAUAAGGAAUGAUAUGUUGAAAUAGACCGAUGAACCAAGAACUCUUCCUAAAUCAGCUUUAUUCACUCCUAAGAUUCUGAAAGAAAAUGACAGUUAUUUCUCCUUCACUAUCGUCCAAAAUGAAAUAUACGACAAACACAGUAUUUAAAAAGAAACUUCACUCAUUGAAGAAAUCUCAAGGGCUUGUAAAAGUAAUACCGUGUUUUAAGUAUGUAUUUAUUGUUUGGGAGUUUGACAGAUCAUGCUGUCAGAUACGUUUUAAUUGCUUAUCAUUUUUAUAUUAAAAUGCAUAAAGUACAGGUACGCCUCUUUUAUGCAACGGACAUACAGUUGGCAUUUCAAAAUCUGCUCAUUU